CCGGGCUCGCCUCGCGGCCCAGAGGGAAGCCGGCUCCCGGGCCCGCGUCGGAGCCGAACGGGGAGCUGCCUUUCAUCAGCCGGGCGCCCUCCCGGGCCGCCGGGAAGCGCCUCGGCGCUCGCCGACCACGUGCGUCGCUUAGGGGGCUCCCGGGCCCCCGCGCCCCGGCCGGGAUGAGCUCCCGCGCCCCUCGGCGCCUCGGUCUCCCCGUCGUGAGAGCGGGGCCUUGCCUCUGAGGGCCAGCGCAUGUCUGACAGUCACGGGACCCGGCGAAUGAAGCAAUACUUGGGACCAGAGAUUUCUCAGGGACUUUUUUUUUUUUAAUGAAAAAUCAUAUGUGCGCUGUGUUAAGAGCAUCGGUUUCGGGAUCAGGUUCCCUGAGCCCUAAGCCAGGGGUCUCCGAUUUCUUAGAUCUUCAGCAUAGUCUUUAACCUCUCUGUGCAUUCGUUUUCUGGGGGAAAAAAAAACAAAAAACAAAACAAAAAACAAAACCAGAUAUACUGUUUCAUGGGGUUGUGUAAAGCUUUAAUCAGAUAAUCUGUGUGAUAUGCAACUGCCGGACACAGGAUGGCCGCUCACUAGACGUUGGCUGUCACCCCCAGCCGCCAUCACUCGAGAUUUCAGGUAUUCCCACCUUGCUGGGGGCCUCUCGGAUCACAGGGCCUAGUUCUCUUCAUCCCCUGCCAGAGGCAGAGGUGCAGUGCUUGGGGAUGCGAGCAGAGCAGUGGUUGAGGAGUAAGCGGCUGCUGCUGCCCAGGCAGCAUCCUCAUUCACCAGACAAGUGAGGAUCCGGAAAGCAGGCUACUAAAAGACUGAAGCAAAGACGAGCUGAUGCAUGUUUGCCAACUUCUUUCUUCCCUUGCUUCUGGAAUCAUGGGAACCAGGUGCUAAAAUGGUAAAGCCACAAGUGGAAGUAAUCUGAAUCACUGCAUCACCACAUGG